rnacentral:rRNA from 1 species
UGGGGAAUAUUGCACAAUGGGCGCAAGCCUGAUGCAGCCAUGCCGCGUGUGUGAAGAAGGCCUUCGGGUUGUAAAGCACUUUCAGCGAGGAGGAAGGUGGUGAGCUUAAUACGCUCAUCAAUUGACGUUACUCGCAGAAGAAGCACCGGCUAACUCCGUGCCAGCAGCCGCGGUAAUACGGAGGGUGCAAGCGUUAAUCGGAAUUACUGGGCGUAAAGCGCACGCAGGCGGUUUGUUAAGUCAGAUGUGAAAUCCCCGGGCUCAACCUGGGAACUGCAUUUGAAACUGGCAAGCUAGAGUCUCGUAGAGGGGGGCUAGAAUUCCAGGUGUAGCGGUGAAAUGCGUAGAGAUCUGGAGGAAUACCGGUGGCGAAGGCGGCCCCCCUGGANGAAGACUGACGCUCAGGUGCGAAAGGCGUGGGGCAGCAAACAGAUUAGAUACCCUGGUAGUCCACGCUGUAAAC